rnacentral:rRNA from 1 species
GACGAACGCUGGCGGCGUGCUUAACACAUGCAAGUCGAACGGAAAGGCCCUGCUUUUGUGGGGUGCUCGAGUGGCGAACGGGUGAGUAACACGUGAGUAACCUGCCCUUGACUUUGGGAUAACUUCAGGAAACUGGGGCUAAUACCGGAUAGGAGCUCCUGCUGCAUGGUGGGGGUUGGGAAGUUUUGGCGGUUGGGGAUGGACUCGCGGCUUAUCAGCUUGUUGGUGGGGUAGUGGCUUACCAAGGCUUUGACGGGUAGCCGGCCUGAGAGGGUGACCGGCCACAUUGGGACUGAGACACGGCCCAGACUCCUACGGGAGGCAGCAGUGGGGAAUAUUGCACAAUGGGCGGAAGCCUGAUGCAGCAACGCCGCGUGAGGGAUGACGGCCUUCGGGUUGUAAACCGCUUUCGCCUGUGACGAAGCGUGAGUGACGGUAAGGGGUAAAGAAGCACCGGCUAACUACGUG